UUGAACGCUGGCGGUAUGCUUUACACAUGCAAGUCGAACGGGCUAUGGGGCUUGCUCCAUAGUUAGUGGCGAACGGGUGAGUAAUAUAUCGGAACAUAUCCGGAAGUGGGGGAUAACGUAGCGAAAGUCACGCUAAUACCGCAUAUGCCCUGAGGGGGAAAGGGGGGGAUCGCAAGACCUCUCGCUUUCGGAGUGGCCGAUAUCGGAUUAGCUAGUAGGUGAGGUAAAGGCUCACCUAGGCGACGAUCCGUAGCUGGUCUGAGAGGACGACCAGCCACACUGGAACUGAGACACGGUUCAGACUCCUACGGGAGGCAGCAGUGGGGAAUUUUGGACAAUGGGCGAAAGCCUGAUCCAGCCAUACCGCGUGAGUGAAGAAGGCCUUCGGGUUGUAAAGCUCUUUCAGCAGGAACGAAACGGUCGGCUUUAAUAAAGUCGGCUAAUGACGGUACCUGCAGAAGAAGCACCGGCUAACUACGU
rnacentral:rRNA from 1 species